UAUAUAUAUAUAUAUAUAUAUAUAUAUAUAUGUAGAUGCCUAGUAACAAAGUUAUAAAUUUGGCAAGCUAUUUCAACACCAUCCAUAUUUUUAAUAUCUCCUCCUAGGCUUUUCCUUAAAUUUUGUAUUGUAUAUAUGAUACAAGAUACCGUAAGAAAUUUGUGAUCAAUUAUUUUGCAUUAUUUGUUUGUUUGAAUCUAGAUUUGGUUUUGAGACACAAGUAUAUGUCAUGGAAAAAAAUUGGAUCAAUCAUAGAGGUGUUGGCAACAAACAAAAACCAAAAUAUGUUAAACGAAUUAUGGAGUUCCUUAAAUUUACAUUUGAUAAAGUAGGGGCAAGAGGUAAAAUAAGGUGUCCAUGCUAUAACAGCAACAAUUGUGUUUUUCUUGGUAAAGAUGAUUUUUUCACUCAUUUGAUUGUAUUUGGGAUCCUAAGGGAUUGUACUAAAUGGACUUUGCAUGGAGAAGAGAGUAGUGAUGAAGAAGAAAAUGAUGGGAUAAUAGGUGAUGAUGAUUCUAUUGGGUUUGAUGAGACAAUUGGUAUGAUUCAAGAUAUAAUCAAUGUUAGGAGCAUAAAUAUUUGUGAAGGUAUGGAUGAGAUUGGUUGUGAGACUAUGGUCAAUGAGGAGCUGCUUGAGAAAUUUGUUAGAUUAAUGAAAGAUGCUGAGAGAGAGUUGUUUCCAGGUUGUAAAAACUUCUCAAAGCUAGAAUUCGUUGUACAUCUUCUUCAUAUUAAAUGCAUUAAUAGUUGGAGUGACAAUUCUUUCACCAUGUUAUUGAAUUUAUUAAAGUAAGUAUUCCUCCAUGAUGAGAAAUUCCCUAAGAAUGCAUAUGAAGCAAAGAAAUAUACACAAGAUUUGGGAUUGAAUUAUGUGAAGAUUGAUGCUUGUAAGAAUGAUUGUAUCAUUUAUCAAAAGAAGUAUUCCAACUUUCAAAGUUGUCCAAUUAGUGGUUACUAAAGGUGGAAAAAUGAAGGUGUUAAAGGUGAUAGUGAGGGCUUAGGCAAAGGUAAAAAGGUUCCUAAUAAAGUCUUGUGUCAUUUUCCAUUGAUACCAAGACUUCAAAGGCUUUACAUGUCUUAAAAAAUAGCAUCUCAUAUGUGUUGGCAUAAGGAUAAACGUUUUGCUGAUGGGGUGUUAAGGCAUCCAGCUGAUACAAAAGCUUGGAAAUCAUUUGAUGAGAUAUAUCCAAAUUUCUCUUUGGACAUAUGAAAUGUAAGACUUGGUUUGGCCUCAAAUAGUUUUAAUCCAUUUGGCAACUUAAGCACUUCUUAUAGCAUAUGGCCUGUUAUGUUAAUGCCAUAUAAUCUACCACCAAGGAUGUGUAUAAUGAGUGAUUUUUCUAUGUUGUCUUUGUUAAUUCUUGGAGAAAAGGCUCCUGGAAAUAACAUUGAUGUUUAUUUAGAGCCUUUAAUAGAAGAAUUACAAGAGUUAUGGGAAGUAGGAUUUGACACAUAUGAUGCUUUUUCUUCAUCUAAUUUCAAGUUACAUGCAGCCUUGUUGUGGACUGUUAAUUACUUCCCAGCAUAUGCAAAUCCGUCUGGUUAGAGUACUAAAGGGGCUUUGGCGUGUCCUUGUUGUAACAGUGACACAUGCUCACUUAGAUUGACCCACGGUCAUAAAUUUUGUUAUAUGGGUCAUCGAAGAUUCUUAGAGGCUAAUCAUAAGUGGAGGUUUUAUAAGAGAUCUUUUGAUGGCACCGUUGAAAUGCGUUCUACUCUUAAGCAUCUUUUAGGAGAUGAUAUUCUUAAGCAGUUGAGUGAAUGCAAUAAUGUGGUGUUUAGUAAGUGUAGUCACAAACGAGAAAGGAGUGAAUCUUCAUUACAAUUUAAUUGCAAAAAAAAAAAGAGCAUAUUUUUUCAGUUGCCUUAUUGGAGCAAACUCUUACUUCAUCACAACUUGGAUGUUAUGCAUAUUGAAAAGAACAUUUGUGAAAAUAUUUUAGGAACAAUUAUGGGAAUUGCUACAAAAACUAAAGACAAUGUAAAUGCAAGGGUAGAUCUUAUGGAGAUGGGUAUUCGCAAGGAGUUGCAUAUUGUACACAAAAUUGAAAGCAAAUAUGAAAUGCCUGUAGCUGCUUAUACUUUGACUUUAAAAGAAAGGAGAGAUGUAUGUCAUUUUUUAUAUAAUUUGAAAGUUCCAGAUGGAUACUCCUCUAAUUUUGCUUGAUGUGUAAAUAUUCAAGAGGGUAAAAUUUUUAGAAUGAAAAGUCAUGAUUGUCAUGUUUUCACGCAAGAUUUGAUUGCUCCUACUUUUCGUGGGCUCUUACCCAAAGAAGUAUAUGAGCCAUUAUUGGAAUUAAUGUUUUUUAAGCAAUUAUGCUCUAAGGCAUUAAGGGUGGAGAUAUUGGAAAAAUUAGAAUGCAACAUUACAAGAACCCUUUGCAAGCUUGAAAAAAUAUUUCCUCCUGCCUUUUUUAAUGUCAUGGUACAUUUGCCUAUACAUUUAGUACGGAAAGCAAUGUUGGCAGGACCUGUUAAAUAUCACCGGAUGUUUCUUUGUGAAAGGUUAGAUCACAUAUUCAUAUUCUUAGUCACAUAAAAAAAAUAUUGUUAUACUAUGUUAAAACUAAAACUAUAUUAAUUCUUUUGUCUUAGGAAUAUGAGAAAAUUUAAGUCCUAUGUUAAAAACAAAGCUCAUCCAGAAGGAUCAAUAGCUGAAGGUUAUAUUGCAGAUGAGCGUCUCACCUUUUGUUCAAGGUAUUUAUCUAAGAAUGAGACUAGAUUUAAUCAGAAAGAAAGAAACUAUGAAGGUGAAGCUCAACAUGCGAGUUUGUCCAUUUUUGCAAAAUUUAGAAAGCCUUUGAGUAAAGCAAAAACUAGAGAAUUGAGUUUUGAAGAUUUGACAUGAGCUCAACUAUAUGUUUUAAGAAAUUGUGUUAAAGUGCAAUCCUUCAUUGAGUAAGGAUUGUAAACUAGGUUAUGAGUUUUAUAUUUUGAUAAUUAUAUUGUAAUAAGAAAAAUCAAUUUCAAUUAUUUUUACAGAAUAUGAAGGUGUCAAUCAUGUCCAGAAUAACAACUUGGUCAAAUGGUUUUGCAACAUUGUAAGUAAAUGUACAAUAAGAUUUUAUAAAACUUAAUUGCAUGUAUUUAAUAGUGUUAUUUUAUAAUUAUGAUCUCUUGAUAGGUGAUGCACUUGUGGGAUAGAAGAGAUAAAUGAGUGACAAAAGAACUGCUAUUUUUGGCACAAGGCCCAAUUAGAAGAGUUUCUUAUUGCAAUGGUUAUAAUGUUAAUGGGUAUAGAUUUCAUACCAAAGAACAUGGCAACCAUCAUGUAACACAAAAUAGUGGAGUUGUUAUAAAAAGAGAUGUACAUAGUGGAGAGAGAAUAUUUUGGCUUAUUACGAGAAGUUAUUGAAUUGGAAUAUAGUAGGGACAAAAAAGCUAUACUAUUAUGACGUGAUUGGUAUGACGUGUAUGAUGAGCAAAAAGGAAUGAAGAAAGAUGGAAAUGGGGUUAUCAUCGUGAAUAUCACAUAAUUUUUGCAAACUAAUGAGCCAUUUGUGUUAGCAAGCCAAGUUGAACAAGUUUAUUAUGUGAUAGACCAAUGGGAUACAAAAUGGCUACUGGUAGUCAAGACUAUGGCUCGCAACUUUUAUGAUAUGCCUCUUGAUAAAGAGAAAGAUACUUAUGAUAUAGAGCCAUAUUGGGAUUUUAUGGAACCCCAUUUGAGUGAAAACAUAUUGGGAUGUUAGGGAACCCCAUUCGAGUGAAAAUUUGAAUUUUUCUAUUGUUAAGGGAGAAGAUAUACUUAUUCCAUUAGCAAGAGAUGACAUGAAGCCCGAGAUAAUAGAUCAUAAUGUUACUAGAAAUCGAAAGGAAUUUAAGAAAAUUUUUAUUGAUAAUGAUAUGUUUGGUGAUGAUGAUGAUGGAGGAGAAGAAGAAGAAUAAGAGGAAGAAGAAGAAGAAGAAGAAGAAGAUGAUGAUGAUGGGUAUAGUGACAAUGAUUAAUGAUUUCUAUCAAAUACUUAAAACAUGAAAGUUGAACCUUUAGAGGCAAUUGAGGCUGAGUCAGGUAUAUUGUUAACAUGGUCUUAUGCCUAAAUACUUGUCCUGUUUGCAAAAUAUAUUUAGUUUUGUAAUUAUUUUUGACAAUGUACCAUUCUUUUCUUUAGUUCUUAAUGUAGUAGUAAGAAUUAGACGUGGAAGAACUCGAGGGACAAAAUGGAAAAAGAAGAGAGAGGCAAACAAAGCACCAGUGAAAGUUGAUAUACCACCAUUAUUGAUGAGAGCUAUUGGUGAAAAUGCACAAUAAUUUAUUACUGAGACAAGUUAACUUGUUAAGCAAUAUUGUCCUUUGAAUAUUUUGAAAUGGGUACAUAUUGAUUCAAAGAUCAAAGGCCGGCUCAUGAAAGAAGUGAAGGUUUUUUUUUUUUUUUUUCACUCUUAACUUUUCAAAAAUUAAUUAAAUAUCUCGUAAAUGUGUAUGAUACAAUAGUCUUAUUUUCAUUUAUUUCUUACAUUAUUGGUUUCAAGAAAAGUUUGUAUUUCCUAACAAUUCUAAUGUUGAUUGUGCUACAUGGAGAAUGAUAAUGAAAAGAUUUGGAAAUUGGUAGUACAACUUGAGGAAGAAGUAUUAUUGCAAGUAUAAAACUGAUAGGGAAAGGUUAAAUAACUGUUCUAAUGAUAUUGACGAAGAAGAUUGAAAGUGGUUAGUCGAAAAAUAUUGGGGAACUAAAAAAUUUCAAGUUUAGUUAUUUUAUGGAAUUUGAUUGUUAUUAAGUUAUCUUUUAAAAGUUUUUUAAAGAAUACAAAAGAAGUAAGGGGUCACAUUAUAUGCACUUAAAAAGUGUAGCCCAUUGUUGCACUUUAGAAGUGCAGUGAGGCCCUAACAUAGCAUCUAAGUGAAACCAAUUAUUUUUUAUUUGGUUGAAGUGCACCUAUUUUUUUAAACUUAUUUUAAAAACCUUAACUGUAUUUUUUUAAAUUUCUUAUAUAUAUAUAUAUAUAUAUUUUAUGUCUAUUAUGGCAUAUAAGUGGGACCAAUUCUAGGAAUAGGGAGAAGCAAGAGAUGUUGGCAUGUGUUGGCACGAAGUCCAUUGCAAAGAUUGCAUAUGAAAUGCAAUCUAAAACUUAAAAAGAAAAUGUCAAAGAACCAGAGUAUAUAAGACUUUUUGUGAAACAAAGAAAAAAGAAGGAUGGAAAUUGGGUUGAUAAAGAGGCUGAGGAAGCAUAUCAAAAGCCAUUGGAUUUACAUAAAGCACAAUUGGAAGAGCAUAGGGUGGAUAAUCUUUCAACCACUGAAGCAUAUAUAAUUUAUUUUAGGACAUGAAUCAAGGUACCAAAGAGGCAUGAGAGAAGGCUGGCCUCCUUUGAAACGUGUUUAUCAUGGAGGUCAAGAUCAACAUGGCUCUACUCUUGAUGAAAAUGCUAUUAAUGCUCGAAUACAAGUUGAAGUGGAAAGACAAGUAGCUGAGUUUUCUACAAAAAAGGAAGCUAAAAUUCGUGAUAAAGUGAAGGCCGAGUUGCGUGAUGAGAUACGAAAUGAAAUGUGCUCAUUACUUCAACAAGAAUUUUCCUCUAUGCUUGAUUACGUAUCCACUGUUAGUUAUUUUUUCCUUCUCUAAUUUUACUUCAACAAUUAUUACUUAUUAGAUUAUCUUAGUCAAUGGUUCAUUGCUUUUUUUACAGGAUUUUAUUCCAUCUUUACAUCUUACAAAGAAUUUAAUGCGAGAAACUGAUCAUAUGAAGGAUAUUAAUGUAUGUAACAAUAAAUGACCCAAAUCUUAUUAGUAAAGAGUUUUUACGUGCUUCAUAUCUUUUACUUCAUGUUGAACUUUCAAGUACAAAUGCUCAAUGCAUGAUUCUCACCAACUCACGAUUCUCACCAAAGUGUAAGUUUUUUUUGCCCUUUUCUUCUUGAAGUUUACAUUAAGAAUUAUUACUUAUACAUUAUAUUAUUUAAGUGAUUCAUUACAUUUUGACAAUAUAUUGUGUCCUCUUUAUAUCCUACAAAGAAUUCAAUGCUUGAAAUUGAUCAUUUAGAAGAUAUUGGUGUAUGUAACAAUAAAUGACCUAUUUUUUUUUUUUAAGGAAUAGCUUCUAUAUGUACCUUAUAUUUUUUACUUAUUGAACUUUCAGGUUGGACCCAUAACUUUGACGCACAAUUCUCACCACACUGUUAGCUAAUUAUUUUGCUUCUUCAAUCUUACUUCAACAAUUAUUACAUAUUACAUUAUCUUGUUCAGGUUAAUCAUUACAUUUUGUUUAUUUCAUCUUUAUAGGUAAUGAAGAAUUCAAUGCUUGAAUAUGAUCAUAUGAAGGAUAUUGAUAUCAAAGAAGACAAUGGUCUAGAUUUGAUCAAGUUUAUUAAACCAUUUUGUCGAAAGGUCACAAAUAUUCUCUACCUAUAUGUAGCAUCAUAUUUUUAAUUUGGUGAAUUAUAUAAUUGUACAUUAGAAGCUCAUAUUUUAAUUUCAAUUUUCUACUUUUUCAUGCUCUCAUAAUAACUUUGUAAUCUGUUUAUGAUGAAUUCUAAUAUCAUAUUGUUUCGCUUGAUUAGGCCUUAAAGUUGUGCUUCCAUAUGGACAAAGAUCGAUGGCAUGUAUAUGAUUAUUAGUCGAUCCUCAAUAAGUGCUCUCCUUUUUGUAUGAAACAUGUUGCUUCAUACUUUUGUUUAUGUAAAUACAACUAAAUGAGCUAUGUCCAUUUUGGGAAGAUAUUUAUAACAUUUUGAUGUAUAGAUUCUAUUUUGUGCUA